rnacentral:lncRNA from 1 species
GGAAGAGAGAGCUAGAAGGCCACAAUUUUUUAAUGUUAGUUGAUUAGUGAUACAUUUCAGCUGAUUAGUGACACAUGCCACUUCAUUUCAGAGAAUAUUGGAUGGAAUGAGGCCCUUGGUCAUGCCUAACUGCACUAACUAGAACAGGAAACAAAGCAGAAGUUUGCAGUGAAGACAAGUGUCAAUGGGACCAACAGAGGAGCUUGAAACAUAUUCUCCAGCCUACUUGCUUCUUCCCUGGCGAUUUCUUAUUUCAUUAGGCUUGCUGGAACACACUGCAUUCAUAGGACAAAGAAAACUUGUGCAGUGUGCUUGGGAAGAGAAUGCCCCUUUCUUCCAUACCACUUCUGUGCCCUUGAAUGCCAUGGAUAAAGACCUUGUGGUUCUACAUGGAGAUUUGAGGACAAAGGAAAAUGGGGCAAGCCUCAGUUGCUAACCUGAAAAGAUACCAGGAUAGAAAUUUUACCAUCUUUCUGGACUGAGAAAAACUGGAAGAAUCGCCCAGGCAAGAUGGAGAGAGACAAGAGACUCCAAGGGAGAGAGAGGAACCAAAGAAGAGUAUUUCAAAUCCCUAUGAGAAGAUUCAUAAAAUUCUCAGUCUUGUCCCUGAACUAUGCAUACACAGAAGAGACCCAAAACAACAUAUUAAAAAUGUCAAAGUGGAAUGUGAUCUACUGCUCACAGAAAGUGAGAUAGCUUUAAGACUGUCUCUUUACAAGAAUGAUUGCUAAAAU